rnacentral:rRNA from 1 species
AGCGAACGUUAGCGGCGCGCCUAACACAUGCAAGUCGCACGAGAAAGGGGGCAACCCCCGGUACAGUGGCGCACGGGCGAGUAACACGUAGAUGACCUUCCCUGGAGUGGUGGAUAACCUGCCGAAAGGCGGGCUAAUACAGCAUGGGACCACAUGGUUUUGACCGAGUGGUGAAAGCGGGCCUCUGUUCACAAGCUCGCGCUCUGGGAUGGUCUGCGGCCCAUCAGCUAGUUGGUGAGGUAACAGCUCACCAAGGCAACGACGGGUAGCUGGUCUGAGAGGAUGACCAGCCACACUGGAACUGAGAAACGGUCCAGACUCCUACGGGAGGCAGCAGUGGGGAAUCUUGCGCAAUGGGCGAAAGCCUGACGCAGCGACGCCGCGUGGGUGAUGAAGGCCCUCGGGUUGUAAAGCCCUGUGGGGAGGAACGAACCGUUCGGGGGUGAAUAUCCUCCGGGCUUGACGGUACCUCCUUAGCAAGCAUCGGCUAACUCUGUGCCAGCAGCCGCAGUAACAC